rnacentral:misc_RNA from 1 species
GUGGUAAAAUACAGCUGGUCUUAAAAAUAUUAGCUUGGUCCUUGAUAAUCUUGGUUCUACUCGGCGUGAUAAUUAUCUAACGUUGAGGACAUUUCUUUAUUGAGAUGGCCAGAAUUGUUUAAGAACUGCUUCUAACCGUCUUCGGACAUAACACUUUCAAAUCUGACCUCGAAUCAGGUGGGACUACCCGCUGAACUUAA